rnacentral:rRNA from 1 species
GACGAACGCUGGCGGCGUGCUUAACACAUGCAAGUCGAACGGAAAGGCCCUGCUUUUGUGGGGUGCUCGAGUGGCGAACGGGUGAGUAACACGUGAGUAACCUGCCCUUGACUUUGGGAUAACUUCAGGAAACUGGGGCUAAUACCGGAUAGGAGCUCCUGCUGCAUGGUGGGGGUUGGAAAGUUUCGGCGGUUGGGGAUGGACUCGCGGCUUAUCAGCUUGUUGGUGGGGUAGUGGCUUACCAAUGCUUUGACGGGUAGCGGGCCUGAGAGGGUGACCGGCCACAUUGGGACUGAGAUACGGCCCAGCCUCCUACGGGAGGCAGUAGUGGGGAAUAUUGCACAAUGGGCGGAAGCCUGAUGCAGCAACGCCGCGUGCGGGAUGACGGCCUUCGGGUUGUAAACCGCUUUCGCCUGUGACGAAGCGUGAGUGACGGUAAUGGGUAAAGAAGCACCGGCUAACUACGUG